CAACUACAGGUGGUGGAUCACUCGGCU
rnacentral:rRNA from 1 species